CUCUUGGUUUCUAGCUUUUGAUUAGAAGGUGGUAUUUCCAAAAUGAUUUGUUUUAGCAUUUCCUUUAAAUUUCUUUUAAACCCUGAGUGUUACUUGCUCUGGCAUAGGCAGCGACUUUGCCACGUCAUAUUUCAUUUUGACAGAAGUAGUGAUUUUAAAGAGGUAGUAGGUCUGACCAGUUAAAUGUUCUCAUCAGCCAGCACCCAGAUCAAGGACCAGAACAUUUUACCAGCCCCAAGGAUCUUCCUCAUGUGUUCUCUCCAAGUCCUUACCUCCACCAAGGGCAAUCAGGAUCCCAGCUUCUCUCUUUGGGUAACUCACUGAAUUUUUUUAAACCUCAGUUAUCUCAUCUGUAAAAUAUUUGAAUAAAACCCCUUGAUACUGUGCCUCCAGACUGCUCCAUCAAAAGAAGCAAUGGAUGCAGUGAUGUUCGUGUAAAAAAACCUACUGUGCUGCCAACUGUAUAAAAGGCCAACACACACAACUAUAAGUCUGCUGAGAGUCAUCAUAAAGAGAUGUUGGAUUUUAUAGAAGGCUUUGUCUGUGUCUGUUGAGAUGAUCCUGUGAUUUUUGUUUUUGAUUCUGUUUAUGUGGUGAAACCCGUUUAUUGAUUUUCAUGUGUUAAAUCAACCUUGCAUUUUAGAAGUAAACUCUACUUGAUCUUGGUGAAUUAACUUUUUGAUGUGCUGCUGGAUUCAGCUUGCUAGUAUUUUGUUGAGGAUUUUUGCAUCUACAUUCAUCAGAGAUAAUUAGCCUGAAGUUUUCUUUCUUUAUCAUGUCUCUGCCAAAUUUUGGUAUUAAGCUGAUGUUGGCUUCACAGAAUGAGUUCGGGAGGAGUACAUCCUCCUCGAUUUUUGUAAUAGUUUCAGUAGGAUUGGUAUCAGUUCUUUGUAAAUCUGGUAGAAUUCAGCUGUGAAUUUAUCUAAUCCAAGGCUCCUUUUGGUUGGUAGGUUUUUUAUUACUGGUUCAAUUUCCAAAUUUGUUUUUGGUCUGUUCAAGGUUUCAAUUUCUUCCUGGUUCAAACUUGAGAGGUUGUGUAUGCAUCCAAGAAUUUAUCCUUUCCUCUAGAUUUUCUAGUUUCUGUUCAUAGAGGUGUUCAUAACAGUCUCUGAGGAUCUUUUGUAUUUCUGUGGGAUUGGUUGUAAUGUCAUCUUUACCAUUUCUGAUUGUGCUUGUUUGGAUCAUCUCUUUUCUUUUUUUCUUUGUUAACUUGUCUAUCAACAUUGUUUAUUCUUUUGAAGAAAAAACUCUCGGUUUUAUUGAUCUUUUGUAUGGAUUUGGGGGCCUCAAUUUCAUUCAGUUCUUCUCUAAUUUUGGUUAUUUAUUUUCUUCUACUAGCUUUGCAGUUGCAUUGUUCUUUUUUUUCUAGUACCUCUAGUUGCAUUGUUAGGCCAUUAAUUUAAGAGCUUUCUGACUUUUCGAUGUGGGCAUCUGUGAACACAGACUCAAUAUCCUCCUUCUAUCUAUUUGAAAUUAUAUAUUAUAUAUAUAUAUCAUUGUUAACUAUAGUCAUCCUACAGUGUUAUAAAACACUAGAACUGGCUGGGCAUAGUGGCUCAUGCCUGUAGUCCCAGCACUUUGGGAGGCCAAGGUGGGUGGAUCACUUGAGGUCAGGAAUUCGAGACCAGACUGGCCAACAUGAUGAAACCCCAUCUCUAAUAAAAUUACAAAAAUUAGCUGAGCUAGUGGCAUACAUACACCUAUAUUCCCAGCUACUCAGGAAGCUGAGGCAGGAGAACUGCCUGAACCUUGGAGACGGAGGUUGCAGUGAGCCAAGAUAGCACCACUGCACUCCAGCCUAAGCAACAGAGCAAGACUCUGUCUCAAAAACAAACAAAAAAAACACUAGAACUCAUUCCUAUCUAGCUAUAAUUUAGUGUCCCUCAGCAAAUCUUUCCAUGUCCCCCCUUCUCUAUACCUUUCCCAGUAUCAAGUAUCCUAUGUUCUACUUGUUAUUUCUAUAAGAUUUACUCUUUUUUUUAGCUUCCACAUAUGAGUGAAAACAUGCGGUGUUUAAGUUUCUGCUCCUGG
rnacentral:lncRNA from 1 species